GGAGAGUUUGAUCGAUGGCGUCAGGACGAACGCUGGCGGCGUGCUUAACACAUGCAAGUCGAACGGUAAGGCCCUUCGGGGUACACGAGUGGCGAACGGGUGAGUAACACGUGGGUGAUCUGCCCUGCACUUUGGGAUAAGCCUGGGAAACUGGGUCUAAUACCGAAUAGGACCAUGGACUUCACGGUUUGUGGUGGAAAGCUUUUGCGGUGUGGGAUGGGCCCGCGGCCUAUCAGCUUGUUGGUGGGGUAAUGGCCUACCAAGGCGACGACGGGUAGCCGGCCUGAGAGGGUGACCGGCCACACUGGGACUGAGAUACGGCCCAGACUCCUACGGGAGGCAGCAGUGGGGAAUAUUGCACAAUGGGCGCAAGCCUGAUGCAGCGACGCCGCGUGAGGGAUGACGGCCUUCGGGUUGUAAACCUCUUUCAGCACAGACGAAGCGCAAGUGACGGUAUGUGCAGAAGAAGGACCGGCCAACUACGUG
rnacentral:rRNA from 1 species